rnacentral:lncRNA from 1 species
AUAAUAAUAAAUAAUAUAAUAAUAAUGAUAAAUAUUUUUAAAAAAAUAAAAAAAAUAGCUAAAAUGGACUAAAUUGAAUUAAAAACGAAAAAAUGGGGCAGAUUCGAAGCAAAUUAAAGAUAGGACCACAUUGAAUGCGAACACAACAAAGGAGGAUCAAAAGGGAAAUUAUUCCCACCUUCCAAAACGCUGCGCAGCAAUGGGCCAGAAUGGAACAACAACACAACAUGCGGGAAAAUUUAAAAGAAAUCAGAAAUUCAAUUUAGACGCACUGCAAGAAUAGGGGACCGAGCGCGCAAAUAGACCAUUUAAGGUCAGACGCACGGAUUCCCCCUUUCCAAACAGCACCGUUUCGUCUUUGCUUUAAAGUCUUAAAAAAACAAAAUUAAAACUAAAAUAAAGUUUCAGAUUCUUUCCUUCCUGAAAGAAAAAUUUUCUAGGGUUCCCUCAACCCUUUGAGCGCCGCCGCUCCCCUUUGCGCCAAGGCUCCGAUUGCGACGGAGAUGGCCACGACUCGGCGGGUUCGACGUAAAGGUAAGUUUUUUCCUUCCUUUUCUUUAUAUUUUGAGCCAAAAAAACAUAAAAACAAGACAAAUAACUUACAGAACGAUGAACACCAAAACAAAAUAAAACGAGGGAAAUCACCUUUAUUCAAAGAAAAUUUUCUAUUUCUCUUUAAUCUUUUUCUCUGUAUUUUUGUAUCUUUUUCUCUUACCGAAUUCCCCCCCCCCCUUUUUGAGUCCAUGGAAUAGGGCUUUUAUAGCCUAAAAAUAAUAGAAAGAAGAAGAAAAAAAAACUAUUCUCUAUUCGAAAUCUGUUAUUUUUCCUUCUUUUUUGUUGCUAUUUGUUCCUGUUUGUUGCUUUUUUGGGUUGUUUGUAGGUGCGUGCUUGGAGGCGUGUGCGAGAUUCGCGGCGGGCGGCGCGAUCUGCGGAGUGCAAGGGGGACUGCUGGGCGUGGGAGCGGCGCGCACGUAGGGGGUGGUUGCGGCUUGCGACGACGGCAGAGAGGCUCUUAGGGUUUCUGCUAUUUUUUUGUGGGCUAGGCUUAGUUUGUUGGGUCUAUUGGGCUGUUUGAGUAUUGGGUUUGUAAAAAUUUGGGCCUUUAUUUUUUUGCAUGCGGGCCCGGGUAGAUUGGGCUUAUUACAAUAAUAAUAAAAUGUUUAUUUAGCAUAAAAACAAUAAAUAUUUACAAAAUUAAAUGGAAUAUAUAAAAAAGAAUAAUAAAAAUGAUUGAAUUAAAAUUACAAAGUUUGAAGGACUAAAUUUACAACCAAAUCCAAAACUAAGGACCAAAGUAACAAUUAAGCGCACAACUUCAAGAAUUCAAAUCCAGAGUACGAAAACGCCACCGUUUGAUCUUGGACCAAAAUGAAAUUAGAAUAACGAUAUAGUAUAAAUUAAAAAAUCGAAAGAAAUCGAAUUGAAACCAUGCAAAACAAAGGACCUAUUGUGUAAAUAAACCUUUGAACAAAAUUGUGCGGAUCUUUCCCCGGUCGGGUCACUGCGAGGAUCUGCCUUCAAACGACGCCGUUUUGAAACCAUCGUCUUGGCAU